rnacentral:sRNA from 1 species
UUAUUUUUAACACUAAAUCACACACAUAUCACAAACUAGCUAUCGGGGUGCUGGCGGAUUCAAUGGUGAGUCUCAAGGUCGAUUGAUUAGGGUAUGUGGAGGCUAAAC